UGAGGAAUAUUGCUCAAUGGCCGCAAGGCUGAAGCAGCAACGCCGCGUGAGGGAUGAAGGUUCUAUGAAUCGUAAACCUCUGUAGAAGAGGAGAAACAUCCGCCUAUGGCGGACUGAUAGUACUCUUAAAGUAAGCCCCGGCUAACUACGUGCCAGCAGCCGCGGUAAUACGUAGGGGGCAAGCGUUGUCCGGAAUUACUGGGUGUAAAGGGUGCUCAGGCGGAUCUAUAAGUCAUAUGUGAAAUCCUGCAGCUUAACUGCAGAACUGCAUCUGAUACUGUAGAUCUAGAGUUCGGGAGAGGGCAAUGGAAUUCAUGGUGUAGCGGUGAAAUGCGUAGAUAUCAUGAAGAACACCAGUUGCGAAGGCGGUUGCCUGGCCCAAUACUGACGCUCAAGCACGAAAGCGUGGGGAGCAAACAGG
rnacentral:rRNA from 1 species